GAGCCACCGCACCCAGCUGGGAAGAGUGUUUCAAUGCAGUUCAGCGAACACUCAAUGCUGUAAUGAUGGAGGCUGGGCAUGGGGUCAGCCCUGAGGGGGUGCCCAGUUGGUGUGGACAGCCAGACUUGGAGACUAAGAAGGGAGGAGGUUCAAAGUGAGCUCCAGGAAGACUUGGCUUCUGUAGGAGAAUCCACAAGACAGCCACAGGAUGGGAUAUUUUUGCAGUGCCUGAACUGCUGUUUAGAAGGCAUUUGUUAUAAUGUGGAGAAACAUUUAUGUAUUUAAGUCCACCGGAAAAACACACUUCAUAAAACUGCCAGUUGUGCUGGCUCACACCUGUAAUCCCAGCACUUUGGGAGG